AGACACAAGUAACUUCAGCAGUAGAGAUGGUUUUAGAAGCAGAGUUACAAUAUUCUAUUUAUCAGGGCCACAGAGACUAAAGCACUGUGCCACAUUAAAAGAGAAAUAAAAACCUCCAGAAACUUACCACUGAUGUAAGAGCCAUCUGAAAACUGUAGAUUCGUGCAAGUCCAAAGUCAGCUAACUUUAUCUGCCCACUGCUGGUUACAAGGAUAUUCUGGGGUUUCAGGUCCCGAUGCACCACACGAUGUGAAUGCAGAAAAUCCAGUCCCCGAAACAGCUGAAGCAUCAUAUCCUAAGUAUAAGGAAGAAAUCAAUAUGCAAUUAUCAAGACAAGGCAAACAAGCGAACAUCCAGCCACAGUCUGAAGAGCUAAUUUAAAGCAGAACGGAAUGCCUGUUUCGGAUGGCAGGUGUUGGGAUACUCGUCCUGAAUGUUCCCUGUAGGAGUGUUUGCAUUAGAGACAACUGCAACAAAGGGACAAGCUUUAGAGCGCAACAAUUAACGAAUCAGUCAAGCUAGGCUGAUGAAGAGGCUCACUCUGCCUCUCACCAAACAGCAGAACAGAAGAGGAGCAGAAUGAGACCUCCUUCACAUCCAACAGGAUUAUACAGAACUCCCAGCCAUCAAAUUGCUUUCAUUUUAAAGGAUAUUUUUCAAACACGUUGGAAUGGAAGUUUAAAGAGCUCCCACUUUCUCUGAGGCCUAUUUUUGAAGCAGAAUUAUUACAGCACUUCUAUGGUUAUACUUUGUAACAAACAGUCAACAUGAAUUAAUGCCAAAAAAAAAAAAAAAAAGGCAUUCCUGAGGAAUUACACAGUACA